AUUGAAAGCUGGCGGCAGGCCUAACACAUGCAAGUCGAGCGGAGCGGCGGACGGGUGAGUAAUGCCUGGGAAUCUGCCUGGUAGUGGGGGAUAACGUCCGGAAACGGGCGCUAAUACCGCAUACUUUCGGUUGGGCCUAGGUGGGAUUAGCUGGUUGGUGGGGUAAAGGCCUACCAAGGCGACGAUCCGUACCUGGUCUGAGAGGAUGAUCAGUCACACUGGAACUGAGACACGGUCCAGACUCCUACGGGAGGCAGCAGUGGGGAAGAUGGGACAAUGGGCGUAAGCCUUAUCCAGCCAUGCCGCGUGUGUGAAGAAGGUCUUCGGAUUGUAAAGCACUUUAAGUUGGGAGGCGUUACCAACAGAAUAAGCACCGGCUAACUUCGUGCCAGCAGCCGCGGUAAUAC
rnacentral:rRNA from 1 species